rnacentral:misc_RNA from 1 species
GCGUCUUUACGGUGCUCACCACACCACACCACACCACACCACACCACACCACACAAAAAAAA